rnacentral:lncRNA from 1 species
AGCCACAGACGUCCUGUGUGUGCUGACGGACACACACAGAUACACACGGACAGCCACGGACGUCCUGUGUGUGCUGACGGACAGCCACAGACGUCCUGUGUGUGCUGACGGACACACACGGACAGCCACGGGCGUCCUGUGUGUACUGACGGACACACACGGAGACACACUGACAGCCACAGACGUCCUGUGUGUGCUGACAGACACCCACGGACGUUGUAGAAACCCUUAAAAAAAAAAAAAAAAAAAAUUAUUAUUUAGUGGUUUUACCGCGGGCAAUGGAUGGUCGAAGAAUUGAUCUUGGGUGAACCAUAAGCUGCUGGACCAUGGUUAGAAAAGUGUUAGAUUGAUCAGACGGCAGUUUUGGAAGAAUCACAUUUUUUGAAGCACGACGGUUUAGAAGCUCGACGUUUUUGAAGAUUGACGUUUCUUCAUCGCGAAGUUUUCUCAGAAUAUCUUCGUAUCAGUAAAAUAUUAUUCUGAAGACAUUAUAAGUCGGAAGCAGGACGGGAAUUAAGCAGGACGGGAAGCAAGCACGACGGGAUUGGAGCACGAGGUGCCGCGAAACCUGCGAUCGGAGCAUGCUGAGCGACAUGUGUGCGCUGAGUGUCAAUCUGGAUGAGGUCAGGCCGUGGAUCAGACAUCUGGAGGGCAUGGUGUCACUCUGCAUGAUGUCCUGGUCAUGCCAUCAGACAUGUGGAGCACGAGGUGCCGCGACGCAUGCGUCCGGAGCCAUGCGAGGCGACACACGGGCUGCCACACGGCUUGUUUCUGAUUGGUUGAUGCAUCCUAUAUAAACCCCACGACCCCAGCUCAUUUCAAACCAUCCAGCACACCUGAAACUCAGAGAAAAACGUGAGAGAGAAAGCUAGAGAAAGAAAGUUUGAGUUUCGAUAGUUUUCGAGCGAUUUAGGCAGUUUUCGAGAACAGUUACUCUGCCGAUUUUGAGUCAGCACUUGGAGAAGAUUAUGUUCAAGUGAAGAGAGAUCAGUUCUAGUGGAGACCAGUUCAAGUGAAGAUCAGUCCAGACGUGGGUCUACUUGUGAAGGUCGGGAAAGGGUUCGGAUCACAGAAGUCGGGUUUGGGGUCAAGGCCACGGUCAACCAAAAACUGUGAGUUAUAAUCAAUUGAUUGCUGAGUUGUUUUUAUGCAGGGUCCCGUUACUUGGAAGUUGGAUCAUGGCAGGAGGCCUGGUUUAACUGAGUAACGGUUUGAGUAGUUAAUAAUUGAGGUUAUGUUGAUUAAGUUGAUAGCAUGCUUAGUUAUUGCUUGAGAACCGUAGUAGCAUGCUAAUGGUUAGGUUGAUUGGUUAGUUAGCGAAUGCAGAAUGCUUAGAUGAUAUCGCUAAGUUGUGGAUAGUUAGGUAUUCUGGAAUUAGUCUUUAUGCUAGAUUCUGGAAUGUGGUUGAUUGUGUUGUGAUUAUUACUUGAAACCUUGUGUUAUUUUUACCGGGUUUAGUAUUAAUCGUAUAUUGGCCGAUAGCAUUUGUGUAACCCACAAUGCUAGGCAUACUGGGGUGAGUUAGUGUUCCUUCAGACCUCGUACCCGGCGGGUUCAAGGAAACCCCUUAUUCGCUGGAUCGGGAAGACUCAGACGAACGGUGUCAUGUACUAUGGCUGAGUAUUACACGACGGUGUAAUGGGACAGUGACCCGAAGGACUGUGGGCUGUCGCGCGGUGACCCGAAGGACAGUGGGCCGCGGUCGGUUGAAAGUUCCUUCUUCUGGCCUUUGUGGUAGGAAGAUAGGAUAUUGCCGAUAGUGAAGGAGGAACCUAACGUCACCAGGGCCCGAGUUUGUUAUAUAUAUUAUAUCGUGUUUUGGGUUGUUAAACCCUGGUUUAAAUCGAGUUUGAGUUUGGUGAUAAGCUAGUAAUUAGCGUAAUGCUAGUUAUCUUGCUAUGGUUUACUGCUGCGUAUUUUUGAAUAUUGCUUAUGGUUAUUAAAUUGUGUUGUUAGGUGAACCUCUCGCUUUAGAUUGUUUGGGGUGGGAUAGCGAGGGGUUGUAUUUGUUAGUGGGGGAUUGUAACUCGCUGAGUAAUGCUAGAUUACUCACUCCUCACUCGUUGUUGUUUUCAGGUGACCAGUAGUGAGCUCGUAGAAAGCGCGGGAGGCUAGGCUGGCUGGUGUAGAUUUGCAUCUUUUUGCUUAAGACGCUUUCAGACUAUAAGUAUGUACUUUUGCUUUCUUGGCAUGCCACCACUUGUAUAAUAUUUUGUGUAUUGUAAACCAGAUAUUAUAUAAGAUAAAUAAAGCGAAUGUUUUGUGAAACUGCCUUGUUGUUCUGAUAUUAGCUUGUCCGAGCUAACACAACGUCAGAUUAGAGUACGGGUUGAGAAGCCUUAGGCUUUGGUCUGACGGGACGUGUUAGUGGGCGGCCUGGCCUAGUUACAAAUUGCACUUUUUGUAACUUUGGCUGGAUUGUCCGUUAACCCGUCUUGUAGCGCUCCUGAGCCUUGGUAGACAGUCCGGCCAUCGGUCAUGUUCUUGUUUGAUUGUUGGCCGGUGGUUUGACCUAUGCCUAGAACGGUUCGGGGGUGUUACAAAGGUGGUAUCAGAGCAUGGUUUCGUCCAUGCGUGACACAAGUGCUUUUUUUAACGGUUUUAUCGAGUCAAAGGAGUCGCAAAAAGAUGAUUAGGAAACCAGCCGCUUCCCGUGGUAGGAAUAUGACUUACCCUUUUUAUUGUGUGCAGAUGGCUAAUCGCGGGACAGGUGAUGAUGGACGAGGUCGGAUAUGGGGAGAGGGUAUGGAUUGGACAGGCGGAGGAUUGGGUCACAGAUCAGAUCAGGAUAAUGGAAAUGGCAUUAGUGAGAUGUUUGGACACGAUAGGAGCCCUCUGCAGAGAACAAGAUCUUUUCCUGUUUACGGUAACAGGACUAGAGUGAGAGAUGACAGUUUGGUGAGUAUUGGCCCAAGUCAUAAUUGGGUCCAGAGACAUCAACAUGAUCAAUCCGCUCAAUCAAACCCAAGGCCAGAUCACAACCAUGCCACCGAAAGACCACAAGAUCAUGGAACCGAAAACACCCUUAAGCUUUUACAUGACGUGAUGACCGAGGCACUUGGUAACCAAGGCAGGCGUUCUCAACCCCCUGAAGUUUCCAAGCUAUUAUCUACCAUGAAGAACAUUGGAUCCUACAAGUUCAAAGGAGGAUCCGAUCCUAUUGAGGCCGACAAGUGGAUUACUAUGAUGGAGAAGAAUUUUGAAGCCAUGGAGUGCCCGGAGGAGUAUAAGAAGAAGAUCGCUGUGUACUACUUGGAAGGCGACGCCACAGGAUGGUGGGACAGCAUAGACAGACAGCGUGGACACAACAUCACAUCAUGGGAGUCGUUCAAGGGAGAGUUUGAGAGGAAAUACUUUCCUCCAGAAGCAAAGCAUCGAUUGGAGCGCCAGUUCAUGAACCUUGUUCAAGGAGAUAGGCCAGUGAGGAGUUACGAAUCUGAGUUCACAAGGUUGAGGCGACAUGUCUUUGAUGGGCGUGAAGAUGAAGCAACUAUGAUCCGUAACUUUAUGUACGGAUUGAAGCCGGAGCUUGGAAGUCGUUUAGCUGGAAGCAACUUUAGCAGCUUAUCUGAGCUAGUGGAAAAAGCUGUUAAUGUUGAAACUGUAUUGGAGGCUGAAAGGAAGACCUUACCACAUUCUGGUGGACACACCAAGUUUAGCCAAGGAGAAAGGCCAAAUUUCAACAAGGGUCCAAGAUCUUACAAAGGAAAAGGGCGAGGAUUUGGAGGCCAAGCCAACAAUCGUGGUAACACUGUGGUGUGUUACAUAUGUGAUCAACCGGGACAUAUUUCUAAGUUUUGUCCCAACAGACAACGGAGUAACCAGCAGGGUUAUUCAUCUAUAAGGAUGGAAGAUGUUACUUGUUUCUCUUGCGGUAUGAAGGGCCAUUAUGCAUCGUCAUGUCCAAACAAGCCAAUCCCUGCGACCCCUCUCGCAAUCCGAGCUCCUCCUAGCCGUCCAGCUAUUGAGCCAGCACCAAAGAAGCAAAACCUAGGAGGUAGAGUUUAUGCCUUAGGUGUAGAAAACCCAGACAAUGCAGGACCGUCAAGCGGUCCCAUCACAGGUAUUGUGGGUGCUUAACCUCUUCUUUUUAUUGAAUGGAAAUUUAGUUGCUGGAAUCUAGUUAGUAUGCUGGUUAGUUAUAGAAUGCUUGAUCGCUAGGUUGCGCGUUUAGAAAUUUAGGAUGAUGAUUGAUGGUUGUGAGAAUUUUGAUUUUUGUGAUUAAGAUAUUGUUGAUUGGAUUACUGUGGCAGGAACCAUACAUGUUGCUGGUAAACCCACACAUGUAUUGUUCGACUCGGGGGCAACACAUAGUUUUGUGACCCCUGAAGUAGCUGCCCGGUUUUGGGAUUGUUUUGUGGUUGACAGGAUAGACGUGGCCGUUUUGACCCCGCAGACCAAACCCUUCAAGCAAAUCAGUGUAUCAAGAAUGUUCCAUUGGUCAUUCAAGGCAAAGAGUUUGUGGCAGAUCUGUUAGUCGUGCCUUUGAAAGGGUACGAGGUAAUCCUUGGAAUGGAUUGGUUAUCGAGCUACGGAGUUCAGAUCGACUGUGGAAAGGGAAGGUUGUUGUUCGGCAGAGGUAAACGACCAGAGAUGGUAUACUAUGGAAUCAGUCCUAGUAUGACAGUGUCUUUAGUAGCAGCGAUGAGAGUACAAGAUUUGUUUCAAGACGGGGAUGUAUAUUUGGUGACCUUAUCGGUUAGUGGAGGAGCCACUAAUGAUGAAGUUAAGGUCGAAGACAUAGAAGUGGUCCAAGAUUUUGAGGAUAUCUUUGCACCACUAAAGGAAUUACCUCCACCUCGGAGUAAUCCCUUUACCAUUACUUUGGAGCCUGAAGCAAAACCUAUAGCUAAGGCACCAUAUCGGAUGGCACCUGCGGAAUUAGCCGAGCUAAAGAAACAAUUGGAAGAUCUAUUGGAAAAGGGAUUCAUCCGGUCGAGCUCUUCACCUUGGGGAGCUCCUGUGUUAUUUGUGAAGAAGAAGGAUGGAAGCAUGAGGUUGUGUAUCGAUUAUCGUGGUAUCAACAACAUCACGAUAAAAGAUAAGUAUCCUCUUCCGAGGAUAGACGAGUUGUUAGACCAACUAAAGGGAGCUAGUUGGUUUUCGAAGAUUGAUUUGGCAUCAGGGUAUCACCAAAUUCCUAUUGCCAAGUCAGACAUUAUGAAGACGGCGUUUCGGACGAGGUAUGGGCAGUACGAGUUUGUAGUUAUGCCCUUUGGUCUCACAAACGCGCCUGCGGCUUUCAUGCGUUUGAUGAAUGAAGUGUUUCACGACUAUCUCGACAAGUUCGUGAUCAUUUUCAUUGAUGACAUCCUGGUGUACUCGAAAAGUAAGGAAGAGCACAAAGAGCAUCUGAGACUGGUUAUGGAGAGGUUACGGAAUCAGAAGCUAUUUGCCAAGUCCAGCAAGUGCUCGUUUUGGAAGAGAGAGAUAGGAUUUCUGGGUCACAUAGUAUCAGGAGAGGGCGUGGCUGCUGAUCCAGAAAAGGUCCAAGCCAUACGAGAAUGGCCUCGACCUACCACUGUGACAGAAGUGAGGAGUUUUCUCGGACUUGCGGGCUAUUAUCGGAAGUUUGUUAAGGACUUUUCCUCCAUUGCAAAGCCUUUAACUAAACUUACCGGUAAAGGAGUUCCUUUCUUAUGGGUGGAAGAAACCGAGAGGGCAUUCAAGAAGUUGAAGGAAGCUCUCACGACCGCACCUGUGUUAGCUUUGCCCGAGCAAGGUAAACCUUACACGGUUUACACGGAUGCUUCACGCGUUGGGUUAGGUUGUGUUCUUAUGCAAGAUGGGCGAGUCAUUGCAUAUGCUUCGCGACAACUACGGAAGCAUGAGGAUAACUACAGUACACAUGACUUGGAGUUAGCGGCCGUGGUGUUCGCUUUGCGAAUUUGGAGAUCUUACUUGUACGGGGAAGAAGUGGAGGUAUACACGGACCACCAAAGUCUUAAAUACCUCUUCACUCAGCCAGAUCUCAACCUGCGCCAGCGUAGGUGGAUGGAGUUUGUGGCAGACUACGACAUACGGAUUCGCUACCAUCCUGGUAAAGCGAAUGUUGUUGCGGACGCCUUAAGUCGAAGAAAGUUGGACGCAGAUUUAGAGAAAGAAGUGGAGCUAUUGAACCAGGAGUUGAAACAAGUGAAGUUGGUCGUUUUGGAAGGGCAGACAAGCGAGCCAUUGGGACUUCAAGCGGUGAAUCAGGCCAGCUUGAUUCAGAGAAUUCGAGAAGAACAACUUAAGGAUGAGAAGUUACUGAACAUUGCUGAAGAACUCAAAGGACAAGCCGGUCCAAAUAAUGCGGGAUACUACUUGGCGGAGGACGGAACCUUGCUAAUUAAUGGGAGGAUCACGGUUCCUAAAGGACAAGGGCUGAGAGAUGAGAUACUAAGGAUUGCACAUCAUUCUUUACUUAGUAUCCAUCCUGGAAGUUCGAAGAUGUACCGAGACGUGAGAAGAUACUAUCAUUGGCCGGGCAUGAAGAGGUCAGUAGCACAAUGGGUUGCUCAGUGUGCAACUUGUCAACAAGUCAAGGUGGAACAUCAAGUUCCAGGAGGAUUGUUGCAGAGUCUUCCGAUACCUCAAUGGAAAUGGGACUCUAUUUCCAUGGAUUUCAUCACCGGAUUACCUACUGCUCCAGGUAGAUCGAACAACUCGAUAUGGGUGAUUGUGGAUAGGUUAACCAAGGUCACACACUUGUUGCCUAUGCGGGACACUGAUAAAGUUGAAGUUUUGGCCGAGCUGUACAUCGACCAAAUCGUGAAGUUACAUGGUGUACCCUCAGACAUCGUCUCAGAUCGCGAUCCAAGGUUCACGGCAUCAUUUUGGGAAGCACUGCAAGAAGCCUUGGGAACUAAACUGUACAGAAGCACGGCGUUCCAUCCAGAAACAGAUGGCCAAACGGAAAGGACCAUUCGGACCAUCGAGGACAUGCUGCGGAUGUGUAUUCUCGAUUGGGCAGGAACUUGGGAGAAGCAUUUACCGUUGGUUGAGUUCUCGUAUAACAACAGUCAUCAUUCGAGCAUAGGGAUGUCACCUUAUGAAGCAUUAUACGGAAGGCCAUGCAAGACGCCUAUGUGUUGGACGGAAGUGGGCGAAAGAAGAAUGUUUGGGUCACCUAUUGUUCAGGAGACCAUGAUUAAACUGGAGACGAUUCAGGCCAACAUGAAGAAGGCUCAAGACCGUCAGAAGAAGUACGCAGACCAGUCAAGAAGAGAAGUAACUUUUGAGAUAGGAGAUUGGGUCUAUUUGAAGGUUACUGCACAGAAAGGGAAGGACAGAUUUGGCAAGGUCGGGAAACUUGCGGUCAGGUUCAUUGGUCCGUAUAAGAUCAUCGGGAAAGUUGGUGAGGUAGCUUACCGAUUGGAUCUGCCAGCAGAUAUGCAUCUACAUCCAGUAUUCCAUGUUUCCAUGCUUCGGAAACAUACGGGAUCCAAGUACUGUUGACCCGAGAGAAUCGAGGAGUUGGAGACAAACCUUACGUAUCCGGAAGGACCAAUCAGAUUAGGAGAACGGCGUAUUCGGAAGCUCAAAAAUCGUGAGAUUGCUCAAGUACAAGUGUUCUGGGGAAGACAAAACAGGAUUCAUGUUACUUGGGAGGAUGAAGCGAGAUUUAAAACCGAUCACCCGGAGUUAUUCCGAGAGGACGUUGUAAUGAAAGAAGGAGGCCCCUCAGAGCCAUAGAAUUCGAGGACGAAUUCUGUUAACGGGGGGAGAAUGUAGAAACCCUUAAAAAAAAAAAAAAAAAAAAUUAUUAUUUUAGUGGUUUAAUGUUUACCGCGGGCAAUGGAUGGUCGAAGAAUUGAUCUUGGGUGAACCAUAAGCUGCUGGACCAUGGUUAGAAAAGUGUUAGAUUGAUCAGACGGCAGUUUUGGAAGAAUCACAUUUUUGAAGCACGACGGUUUAAGAAGCUCGACGUUUUGAAGAUUGACGUUUUCUUCAUCGCGAAGUUUUCUCAGAAUAUCUUCGUAUCAGUAAAAUAUUAUUCUGAAGACAUUAUAGUCGAAGCAGGAACGGGAAAUUAGCAGGACGUGAAGGCAAGCACGACGGGAUUGGAAGCACGAGGUCCGCAAACAUGGCGGAUCGAAGGGACGGAUCAUGCUGAGCGACAUGUGUGCGCUGAGUGUCAAUCUGGAUGAGGUCAGGCCGUGGAUCAGACAUCUGGAGGGCAUGUGUCACUCUGCAUGAUGUCCUGGUCAUGCCAUCAGACAUGUGGAGCACGAGGUGCCGCGACGCAUGCGUCCGGAGCCAUGCGAGGCGACACACGGGCUGCCACACGGCUUGUUUCUGAUUGGUUGAUGCAUCCUAUAUAAACCCCACGACCCCAGC